GAGUGUGAGGCCCUGAGUUCAAGUCCCAGGUCUGGCACACACACCAGAGAAGGACUGGGGGAUGACAACUAGCACAUGUAAACCAAUACCAGUGUGGGAACGGAUGGAACAGUGAUAGCAGUAGGAGUUCUUGUGGUUGAAGGGGGCUAACGCUUACAUAUUAGCAGUAGCAUGCUAUCAGGAGACCCAGCAUUUGUGCAGGGCACACUGGGUGCCUGGACACACUCUAGGGACCCGAAGGAAGCCCACUGCCCAGGCUGGGUCGCUAGAUACUCAGCAGCCCAAAUCCAUUACUGCUCUACCAUGUUUCCUCCGAUGGCUUUUGGCAGUGGUGAGGUUUGCACUCGGGCCCUUGCAAUGUGCUCUAGGCAGGCACCCUACCCCUUUAGUCCACUCACGGCUUUUCUUAGCCUCGCCUCUCUCUUAGGUUCUCCUGUGGCUUUGGCUGGCCUUAAACCCACUGUCCAUC